UACGGAGGGGGCUAGCGUUGUUCGGAAUUACUGGGCGUAAAGCGCACGUAGGCGGCUUUGCAAGUCAGAGGUGAAAGCUCGGGGCUCAACCCCGGAAUUGCCUUUGAGACUGCAUCGCUAGAAUUGUGGAGAGGUAAGUGGAAUUCCGAGUGUAGAGGUGAAAUUCGUAGAUAUUCGGAAGAACACCAGUGGCGAAGGCGACUUACUGGACACAUAUUGACGCUGAGGUGCGAAAGCGUGGGGAGCAAACAGG
rnacentral:rRNA from 1 species